rnacentral:rRNA from 1 species
UAGGGAAUCUUCCGCAAUGGGCGAAAGCCUGACGGAGCAACGCCGCGUGAGUGAUGAAGGUCUUCGGAUCGUAAAACUCUGUUAUUAGGGAAGAACAAAUGUGUAAGUAACUAUGCACGUCUUGACGGUACCUAAUCAGAAAGCCACGGCUAACUACGUGCCAGCAGCCGCGGUAAUACGUAGGUGGCAAGCGUUAUCCGGAAUUAUUGGGCGUAAAGCGCGCGUAGGCGGUUUUUUAAGUCUGAUGUGAAAGCCCACGGCUCAACCGUGGAGGGUCAUUGGAAACUGGAAAACUUGAGUGCAGAAGAGGAAAGUGGAAUUCCAUGUGUAGCGGUGAAAUGCGCAGAGAUAUGGAGGAACACCAGUGGCGAAGGCGACUUUCUGGUCUGUAACUGACGCUGAUGUGCGAAAGCGAGGGGAUCAAACAGG